AGAGGUUUGAUCCUGGCUCAGAACGAACGCUGGCGGCAGGCCUAACACAUGCAAGUCGAAGGAGAAGCCAUCUUCGGAUGGUGGAAACUGGCGCACGGGUGAGUAACGCGUGGGUAUCUACCUUGGGGUGGGGAAUAACCGCUGGAAACGGCGGCUAAUACCGCAUACGCCUUUAGAGGGAAAGCUCUGGCGCCCUAAGAGGAGCCCGCGUUGGAUUAGCUUGUUGGUGGGGUAAUGGCCUACCAAGGCUACGAUCUAUAGCUGGUCUGAGAGGAUGAUCAGCCACACUGGGACUGAGGUACGGCCCAGACUCCUACGGGAGGCAGCAGUGGGGAAUAUUGGACAAUGGGCGCAAGCCUGAUCCAGCCAUGCCGCGUGAGUGAAGAAGGCCUUAGGGUUGUAAAGCUCUUUCACCUGCGAAGAUGAUGACGGUAGCAGGAGAAGAAGCCCCGGCUAACUCCGUGCCAGCAGCCGCGGUAAUACGGAGGGGGCUAGCGUUGUUCGGAUUUACUGGGCGUAAAGGGCGCGUAGGCGGUAUGCCAUGUCAGGGGUGAAAGGCCUGGGCUCAACCCAGGAACUGCCUUUGAAACUGGCAAACUAGAGUCCGAUAGAGGAUGGCGGAAUUCCCAGUGUAGAGGUGAAAUUCGUAGAUAUUGGGAAGAACACCAGUGGCGAAGGCGGCCAUCUGGAUCGGCACUG
rnacentral:rRNA from 1 species